rnacentral:rRNA from 1 species
AUUGAACGCUGGCGGCAUGCCUUACACAUGCAAGUCGAACGGCAGCACGGGUGCUUGCACCUGGUGGCGAGUGGCGAACGGGUGAGUAAUACAUCGGAACAUGUCCUGUAGUGGGGGAUAGCCCGGCGAAAGCCGGAUUAAUACCGCAUACGAUCUACGGAUGAAAGCGGGGGACCUUCGGGCCUCGCGCUAUAGGGUUGGCCGAUGGCUGAUUAGCUAGUUGGUGGGGUAAAGGCCUACCAAGGCGACGAUCAGUAGCUGGUCUGAGAGGACGACCAGCCACACUGGGACUGAGACACGGCCCAGACUCCUACGGGAGGCAGCAGUGGGGAAUUUUGGACAAUGGGCGAAAGCCUGAUCCAGCAAUGCCGCGGGGGUGAAGAAGGCCUUCGGGUUGUAAAGCACUUUUGUCCGGAAAGAAAUCCUUGGCCCUAAUACGGUCGGGGGGAUGACGGUACCGGAAGAAUAAGCACCGGCUAACUACGUG